AAAAAAUCAUAUUUAUAAUGUCUUUAUUAUAAACGCUUAACCGUCUAAAAUUAUCUAUGUCCUAACUAAGCGUUCUAGGCGCUAGGCAUUGGAUCACUGUCCGUUUAACGCCUAACGUUUUCUUGAAUACUAUUAAUUAAAGU
rnacentral:sRNA from 1 species